rnacentral:rRNA from 1 species
UGGGGAAUUUUGGACCAUGGGGGAAACCCUGAUCCAGCCAUCCCGCGUGUGCGAUGAAGGCCUUCGGGUUGUAAAGCACUUUUGGCAGGAAAGAAACGUCAUGGGUUAAUACCCCGUGAAACUGACGGUACCUGCAGAAUAAGCACCGGCUAACUACGUGCCAGCAGCCGCGGUAAUACGUAGGGUGCAAGCGUUAAUCGGAAUUACUGGGCGUAAAGCGUGCGCAGGCGGUUCGGAAAGAAAGAUGUGAAAUCCCAGAGCUCAACUUUGGAACUGCAUUUUUAACUACCGGGCUAGGGUGUGUCAGAGGGAGGUGGAAUUCCGCGUGUAGCAGUGAAAUGCGUAGAUAUGCGGAGGAACACCGAUGGCGAAGGCAGCCUCCUGGGAUAACACUGACGCUCAUGCACGAAAGCGUGGGGAGCAAACAGG